rnacentral:rRNA from 1 species
GAUGAACGCUGGCGGCGUGCCUAAUACAUGCAAGUCGAGCGAACGGACGAGAAGCUUUCUUUUCUGAUGUUAGAGGCGGACGGGGGAGUAACACGUGGAUAACCUACCUAUAAGACUGGGAUAACUUCGGGAAACCGGAGCUAAUACCGGAUAAUAUUUUGAACCGCAUGGUUCAUAAGUUAAAGACGGUCUUGCUGUCACUUAUAGAUGGAUCCGCGCUGCAUUAGCUAGUUGGUAAGGUAACGGCUUACCAAGGCAACGAUGCAUAGCCGACCUGAGAGGGUGAUCGGCCACACUGGAACUGAGACACGGUCCAGACUCCUACGGGAGGCAGCAGUAGGGAAUCUUCCGCAAUGGGCGAAUGCCUGACGGAGCAACGCCGCGUGAGUGAUGAAGGUCUUCGGAUCGUAAAACUCUGUUAUUAGGGAAGAACAUAUGUGUAAGUAACUGUGCACAUCUUGACGGUACCUAAUCAGAAAGCCACGGCUAACUACGUG